CCUUACCCCCCAAAUCACACACACGUGUAGCCGCACAGCAAUACUUAUAUGUGGCCAGACGCAUGCAGCAGCGUAGUGUCAUUACCUCCGCUGCCCUGUAACCUCCAUUGUCCCCGUCCCAUCACACACACACACACAUAUCAUCCCCCCCCGGGCUGCCAGCAGUGUGUAUAGGGGAAGAAGCCCACGGUGGUCUGGACAUAACAGGAGACCCAUCGCUGCGCUCUCCUCCUCUCUUCUUCUCCUCUCACUUUGGUGGCAGCAGCAGGACGUCCGGUGCGGUAGCGGCGGCGGCUCCUCGCGUGGAUCGCUUAAGGUGCAGCUGAAUCGUCGGUGCACGGCAGAAAUACCAUGAGUUCAAAAGAGAGUGCCCGCCAGUCCACGUCUGCGGAGCAUCCUGCAUCCCCCUCAUCAGAGUCACCGAAGAGGGCUCGGGGCAGACCUCGGAAACCGCAAAAAGAGCCAGCAGCUGGAGAACCCUCUCCUAAAAGACCCAGAGGAAGACCUAAGGGGAGCAAAAACAAAGGUCCUUCAAAAUCGGCACAAAAGAAAGAAGAGGGCAGUGGUGAGAAACGUCCAAGAGGGCGUCCAAGAAAAUGGCCACAACAGGAAAAAAAGUCUGGGCAGGGAGAAACCGAAGAGGCCUCAUCACAUGAAUCUGAAGAGGACUAGACUGCAACCGACGUGAAUUUCUACCUCAAAAAGCAGUUGGUUUUCUUGGGUUCAGAUUCAGUCCCUUCAGUUUAUCUGGAUCUCAGAAAUGAAGACACUGCCUUGACCACUUAAUUUGUACUACCACCAUCUCUCCACUUCUUGCCUUUGGGCAGGAAACAAAGUCACCCAACCUCUUUAAGAACUUUCAGUUCAUUACUUUCUUUGUUAUUUUUUUACUGUCCCAGUUUUAGUGCUGAGAAGAAAAACUGCUGUAAAACGGGGAUACAGAUAAAUGAUUUGUGUCGUUAAAGGAAAAUGGACUGAUAAAACCAACAACUGUACCUCCAGAUUAUUUACAGGAACAAGUUACCAUUAGAUAUUUUCACCAACAUUUAGGACUGCAGUUAAUCCCUAACCAAAGUAUUUUGUAGGACAUCGUACUAACUAAACACAUAUGUCAGUCCACGUUUGAUAUUUUGGCCAUCAAUACUUGAGAGCUGAAAGCAGUGUCCUGUUCUAGCACUCUUUUAUGUACAUGGAUCCCAAUGCCUUCUAGUGAAAACCUUCAAAGAAACUUGAAGCUUUGUAGGCGGGAAGAUGCAAGCUUGGCUUUUGCAUAAUGCAAUCAUAAGUAUGUGUUUAAUGUAGUGGGGUAAAAUGUAUUUUCAUGUAUUUUACACAAAUGUGAUUUUAUAUUGUUUCAUUAAGAUGUUUAUUAAAUUCUCAAGUAGAGUUUUUAUUCUCUGUUUAGCCAGUAUUUACACAUUCUUAACAUUGUAUUAUUAACUGGGCAAGAGAGAGUUCCUCAGGGGCGUCAGUGCAGUUUGAGUGGAACUGGUAAAUGUGGCAGACUUGCAAUUCUCUUUGCCACAGAUCAGCUUUACAAGGGCUUGGUUCUAAAGUCUUUAGUGUUCAAAUGACUUGUGUGAGAAAUCAUCAUGUUACUAUAUGCAGAACACCCCGGUCAUCCUCCUACUAAAAGUGGCAAUACAAGUGGAUUUAGUUUAUAUUGAUUUAGGUGUGCAUUGUUAUCUCCAACACAGUAUCCAGUUUGUACCUUCUGAAUGUUAAAGCACAUGUGCACCCUGUGUCACAUUCUGCUUGCACCUUUUUAUGCAGUAUUACCUCAAAGGACACAAAUGAAUAUGCACCAUCAGUGAUCCUUAAGGCAACAUGACUACACCUUUUGUGUACACUUAAGGGGGAAUUUAUCAUUGUCGGCAUUAGGCUAUGUUUACACGGCAGAAUUUCUGCACGGAAUUCUGCAGUAAAUUCCGCAGAAAUUAAUUGCCUAUUCCCUUUAAUAGAAUUCCUUCUGCUGUGUGCAUGGGACAGCAGAAUCCCUUUGAAGUGUAUUGGCUAUAAAUUCAUCCAGUAUUCAAUGUGGAAAUUCUGGCGCAUGAACAUAGCUUUAGACACAGAGGCCCUCAUUUACUCUUGCAAUCCCAACAUGUUUUGUCGGGAUGUGCGCCAGAAAUUAGAAAAAUCCGACUAACUCUCCAUUUUACUGAGAGAACCUGAAAAAGGGGCGUGGUCAUCUGGGGAAAAGGGGGCGUCGUCACAGAAAAGGCGCGUAUUCCCGACAUUUUCACAAUAACCCAACAUAUUUACUACGGUUUCCACAGAAAAUGUGGUGGAUUUAAAAUGAGGAAAACCCGACAGAUCGGAGCAUGUGUAAUAAAAAGGAAAAUGUAGGGAAAGUGGAAAAUGUAGGGAAACCUUAGUAAAUACCGUGGAAAAUAAAUUGUAGGGAAUUAAAACCCACAAAGAAACCUACACAACACUCUUAGUAAAUCAGGGCCAGAGUGUAAAUAGUCCCAAAAUAUUUGUGCAAGUCUCCAUUUUGCACAAAAAUGUUGCAACUUUUUUAACUUUAUGCCAUCCCCACCAAGUGUGCAGAGCUUGGCGUAAAACAAGGCAUGGUCUCCUACAACACCAGAUUUAUCACAAUUUAUGCCACAACGGUAGCAUAAAUUGUUGGUAAAAUCUAUGCUAGCUGUACGCUAUCUCUCUACGUGUCUAUUUUAGAAGUACUGUGCAGGGCCCGCUUCACUGCCUGAUUUAUUAAGAGGCAUCCGCCUUUUAAAGGGAUUUUCUGGAAUUAGAAAAACAGAGCAAUUUCCUUCUAAAAACAGAACUUCAUCUGUCCUCAGGUUGUAUGUGGUAUUACAACUUGGCUCUAUUCACGUCAAUGGAACUGGUUUGCAAUACCACAUACAACCUGAGAACAGGUGUGGCACACUUUUUCUAUCCUGGAUAAGCCCUUGAUGGUGGAAGUGGAAAGUAAUGCGUUUUCAUAUUAUGACUGAUGUAUGAAACGCAGGUCUUGAUAAAUUCCCUCCUUUGUUAUUUACUACACAAAAGCAUAGUAUGUUUGCCUGCGGGACAAAUGGUCAGUGUCCUGUCCCUAUAUUGCAUGAGAAUAUGAUACAGAGCAUUGCUACUCGCAGGAUCAUGGGGAAGAAGUUCAUAAAACAGUCUAAGGUUGUUUUCACACAAAAAUUUGUUUUUCAUUAGCAAAAAAAAAAAAAAAGGAAAAUUGUUAAUUUACAGCCAAAAAUAUACACAAUAGUGUGUUAUGCAGUGUAAACAUGACCUAACAGAAAAAUUGUAUUUGUUGUCAAUAGCAACCCAUCACUAUGCAACAUAUAUUUUCAAGAGCAUCAUAAGAAAUGAAAGUAGUAUUGUGCUUGGUUGCUAAGGGCAAAAAAAAAAAAUUUUUCUCCUUUUUAGACUGUGUAUAUAUAUAUAUAAUCUAAAUCUUCAUUACAGUUUCUAUAUUUACAGAAACCACUAAAUUGAAAGUGAUUGCAAAAUGAUCUACAUACGCUUUCUAACUGAGAUCAGAUAAACCUGGUCUAUAAGCAAUUAUAAAAAGGAGAGUUACAUUUAACCAUUGCAUUUCGGGUUGUGUUACAGGAUUAUGUGAUCCGCCAAGUUGGAUCAUAAAACCAAAUUUUCCAUUUGGUAUUCAUCAUGACGGAAAUAGUAAUCUUACAUCUUCGUAGAUGUAAGGAACUUCAGGCCAGUUUGAUUUAAAUUCUAGUAAAUCUUUGACAUGUUAGGAUCUUGCCCUUGUGUGUUAACUGCAGAGACAUCAGGCACUGAGGAGCUCAUAUCUCUGUGGCACCAUUGUGUUUUCUGUGUUUUUAGUACAAUCAGAUAAAGACAUUACUACCUCUUAGGGCUUACUAUACCUCAUUUUUCAGACUGAACAGAAGCAGCUGGUGGCCAUCCAAACAGAAAGAACAUUAUAAAUUUUUAUACAUAUAGUUUAUUUUUGUGGGAGAUAAAUUUUAUAAGACUGUUCUUUGCUGUUCUUGGUCACCUGUAUACAAGACUGGACAUUUUACUUUUCAGUUCUUCCGUCAACAUUAUUUUGAUGGCGGAGGGGAGCAAAAGUAUCAAAAUGCUUCACUGAUGUUUGCUUUUAUUCCUUUUCUCCGAGUGUCCUCUAACCUUUGCCUUGCUCCUUGCAUAGACCUCAUGUCUGUGAUUGUACUUCAAAUUGCUUGCUUGAUGAACAUAUUUCUUUUAAUGUCUGUUUAGCACAAUAAACAUAAUAGCC